rnacentral:rRNA from 1 species
CCUACGGGGGGCAGCAGUGAGGAAUAUUGGUCAAUGGGCGGAAGCCUGAACCAGCCAAGUCGCGUGAGGGAUUAAGGCCCUGCGGGUCGUACACCUCUUUUGCCGGGGAGCAGUGGUCCGGACGCGUCCGGACCGGGAGAGUACCCGGAGAAAAAGCAUCGGCUAACUCCGUGCCAGCAGCCGCGGUAAUACGGAGGAUGCGAGCGUUAGCCGGAUUUAUUGGGUUUAAAGGGUGCGCAGGCGGAGGCACAAGUCAGCGGUAAAAUCGCGGGGCUCAACCCCGCUCCGCCGUUGAAACUGUGUCCCUUGAGUGCGCGAAGGGUAGGCGGAAUGCGUGGUGUAGCGGUGAAAUGCAUAGAUAUCACGCAGAACUCCGAUCGCGAAGGCAGCCUACCGGCGCGCAACUGACGCUCAUGCACGAAAGCGUGGGUAUCGAACAGGAUUAGAUACCCCGGUAGUC